rnacentral:rRNA from 1 species
GAUGAACGCUGGCGUUGUGCCUAAUACAUGCAAGUCGAGCGAACGGACGAGAAGCUUGCUUCUCUGAUGUUAGCGGCGGACGGGUGAGUAACACGUGGAUAACCUACCUAUAAGACUGGGAUAACUUCGGGAAACCGGAGCUAAUACCGGAUAAUAUUUUGAACCGCAUGGUUCAAAAGUGAAAGACGGUCUUGCUGUCACUUAUAGAUGGAUCCGCGCUGCAUUAGCUAGUUGGUAAGGUAACGGCUUACCAAGGCAACGAUGCAUAGCCGACCUGAGAGGGUGAUCGGCCACACUGGAACUGAGACACGGUCCAGACUCCUACGGGAGGCAGCAGUAGGGAAUCUUCCGCAAUGGGCGAAAGCCUGACGGAGCAACGCCGCGUGAGUGAUGAAGGUCUUCGGAUUGUAAAACUCUGUUAUUAGGGAAGAACAUAUGUGUAAGUAACUGUGCACAUCUUGACGGUACCUAAUCAGAAAGCCACGGCUAACUACGUGCCAGCAGCCGCGGUAAUACGUAGGUGGCAAGCGUUAUCCGGAAUUAUUGGGCGUAAAGCGCGCGUAGGCGGUUUUUUAAGUCCGAUGUGAAAGCCCACGGCUCAACCGUGGAGGGUCAUUGGAAACUGGAAAACUUGAGUGCAGAAGAGGAAAGUGGAAUUCCAUGUGUAGCGGUGAAAUGCGCAGAGAUAUGGAGGAACACCAGUGGCGAAGGCGACUUUCUGGUCUGUAACUGACGCUGAUGUGCGAAAGCGUGGGGAUCAAACAGGAUUAGAUACCCUGGUAGUCCACGCCGUAAACGAUGAGUGCUAAGUGUUAGGGGGUUUCCGCCCCUUAGUGCUGCAGCUAACGCAUUAAGCACUCCGCCUGGGGAGUACGACCGCAAGGUUGAAACUCAAAGGAAUUGACGGGGACCCGCACAAGCGGUGGAGCAUGUGGUUUAAUUCGAAGCAACGCGAAGAACCUUACCAAAUCUUGACAUCCUUUGACAACUCUAGAGAUAGAGCCUUCCCCUUCGGGGGACAAAGUGACAGGUGGUGCAUGGUUGUCGUCAGCUCGUGUCGUGAGAUGUUGGGUUAAGUCCCGCAACGAGCGCAACCCUUAAGCUUAGUUGCCAUCAUUAAGUUGGGCACUCUAAGUUGACUGCCGGUGACAAACCGGAGGAAGGUGGGGAUGACGUCAAAUCAUCAUGCCCCUUAUGAUUUGGGCUACACACGUGCUACAAUGGACAAUACAAAGGGCAGCGAAACCGCGAGGUCAAGCAAAUCCCAUAAAGUUGUUCUCAGUUCGGAUUGUAGUCUGCAACUCGACUACAUGAAGCUGGAAUCGCUAGUAAUCGUAGAUCAGCAUGCUACGGUGAAUACGUUCCCGGGUCU